AAAGACCAAGAACGUGGAAGCAAUGGUGCCGCCCACAGUAAAGGUGAAGAGACCGUGGAAGGAAGCAGAGAGGAGUGCGGUAAACAAACACAUGGCAAAGUUUAUAGCAGAGCGCCGCCUUCCAGGUAAAGAACACUGCAUGUGAUGCAUAAAAGAGGAGGAAGCCUUGGGUCAAAGGUCCUGGAAGGAUGUAAAGAAGUUUGUGUACAACACAAAUGUUAAGUUAAA